rnacentral:rRNA from 1 species
UGGGGAAUAUUGCACAAUGGGCGCAAGCCUGAUGCAGCAACGCCGCGUGGGGGAUGACGGCCUUCGGGUUGUAAACCUCUUUUAGUAAGGAAGAAGCCUUCGGGUGACGGUACUUGCAGAAAAAGCACCGGCUAACUACGUGCCAGCAGCCGCGGUAAUACGUAGGGUGCAAGCGUUGUCCGGAAUUAUUGGGCGUAAAGAGCUCGUAGGCGGUUUGUCGCGUCUGCUGUGAAAUCCCGAGGCUCAACCUCGGGCGUGCAGUGGGUACGGGCAGACUGGAGUGCGGUAGGGGAGAAUGGAAUUCCUGGUGUAGCGGUGGAAUGCGCAGAUAUCAGGAGGAACACCGAUGGCGAAGGCAGUUCUCUGGGCCGUAACUGACGCUGAGGAGCGAAAGCGUGGGGAGCGAACAGG